CUCGUGCGUCGAUGAAGAGCGCAGGCCAACGCGUUAAUUAGUGUGAAUUGCAGGAUAUCUUGAACAUCGACAUCUUGAACGCAUAUUGCGGCCUCAGGUCUCCCCUGUGGCCACGCCUGGCCGAGGGUCG
rnacentral:rRNA from 1 species